rnacentral:lncRNA from 1 species
AAAAAAUUAUUUUAUCGGCACCUUUCACAUAAAUCACAAACACACAGUUUACCAAAAUACACCAACUUUGUAAUAGGGUACAAAGAAAAAACAAACCAGAUGUGCCUUCUCACUCUAUCUCACACUAUGCGAAAAAUCAAUUAUGAAUAAAUACAAAAUUAAUAAACCAAGACAACUACACACCUGCGCACGCAUUAAAAAGGACAAUAGCAAUAAAAUAAAUAAAUAAAAGUAAAUAAAUAAAUGAAAAUUAAUCAAUCAAUCAAUCUACCUGCAUUAAAACAAAUGAAUGGAAAAUAGAUAAUAAAAGUCCCCCGGUUGUGUCCUGUACACCCAGAGGCCGAGCCCUGAUGCUCAGGUGAGGCUGCUGGGAAACAUCCAGUUCUCAGGGUUAUUCCGUCUCCAUCAGAGGACCAGAACCCAAAGUCCCACAACACUGCCUCCAAACACCUCUUCACAGUCCGGUGUUUCAUUUAGAAUGCUGGUCUUCAGCAGUGUUUUCCAGCCCUAAUAGCAGUUUCAGGUCAGCUCAGGUGAUGCUACAGGAUGGAGUCUGAGCUGUUAACUGGCUGGCAGAAUGAGAGGGCGGAGCUGAGGGAGGAGUUAUCCAGACUGGAGGAGGAGCUUGCCGAGAGCCGGGCAGAAAGGGAUGAGCUCCAGUCUCGGACAGAGGCACUAACCUUGCGGCUCUCUCGAGUGGUAGACCCCCCUGUGGCAUUGGGGAUGGAUGGUGAUCAGAGGGAGUGGAGGAGGAGAGUGAGAGAGGGGCGAGAGAGGGAGGCUCGGCAAGCUCUGCUCAUCCACAAACUGCAUAAAUGGACACUCUCUUCUAAUGUGGUCAUUUUUAUAUGUGUGUGUGUGUGUGUGUGUGUGUGUGUGUGUGUGUGUGGGCUGCAGGUCCUGGUGGGGUGUGUAUCUGCAGAGCGGGCCAGGCUGAUGAUGCUGUGGGGUAAAGCUGUGUCUCUGAGGCGUCAGUGCCACACUGUGAAAACCGCCACAGACAAGGAUCUGUGGGAGUUGAGGGCGGAGUUUUCUCGUCUGUCAUCAACCUUGUUCUCAAUGGGUUUCCCUCCCGUGGUGCCCCGCCCCUCCGUCCUCUCCUCCUCCACCGGGCCAAUGACCCUUGAGGAACUGAACCAGGAAACGUCCACCACUAACCAUCUAGAUGAUCAGGAGAGCCUCACCCAGCAGCUCAGGUCUAGGAUUGAAGAGUUAACAGUGACUGUCCAAGCCCUGGAGAGUGAGAGACAGAGGCAGGAGGAGGAGAGAGAGAGGAGGCGAAGAGAGGAAGAGGAGGAGAUGGAGAAACACCAAGAGACUGAGAGAAACCUGGAGUCGGUCCAGCAGGCUGUCAAAAAGCUGUACAGGGUGCUCAGUUCUCAAAAGCUGGAGGGACAGUCCAGGAUGAGUGACCACUCUAAUAACGGUCUGCCUGCUCUACUGGCUAUUAUUGCUCAGGCUGAGAGCGCCCUCCUGUGGAAACACCAGGAGCUGCAGGAGGCUGAGGGGAGUUUGCAGAGAGUGAAGCUGGAAACACACUCUCAGGAUCAGCGAAUCACAGAGCUAGACAGAGAGAUGGCGGAGUUAGAGGAUCAGCUCAGCAACAAAGAGGCGGAGUUACAGCGUGCUAACACACAACUCAGCAGUGAGAGAGAGAUGGUGGCGUGUGUUCAGAAGCAGCUGGAGGAGAGCCAGUGGCGGGAGGAGGAGCUAAGGAGAGAGCAUGAGCGGCUGACUGAGCAAAGAGCAAGAGAGGAAGAGGAGAGACAGGAACAGCAAAGAGAGACCCAGAGACGUUUGGAGGCGGAGCUUCUGGAGAACGCACAGCUGUGCGAGAGGGAGAGCCGCAGCCGUGUGGAGCUGCACAGCCUGCAGGGGGCGCUGGAGAGAGAGCGGCUGGACAGAGCACGGGCCGAGAAGGAGGCGGAGGAGAAUAAGGAUGCUCUGCUGCAGGCUCGUCAGUCCCUGCUAUCUCUCUCGUCCGCUCACACUCUGCUGAAGAGAGAAGCAGCAGAUGUAAGAGAUGCUCUGGAGAAAAUGUCCGCCUUAAAUGAAGCCCUGGUCCAGGAUAAGAGAGAGCACAACAUCCGCACACUACAGGUUUUUAUAUAUCAAAAUAUUUGUGAGCACCCCUUGUACAAUACUUUUAGAUGGGAUGAGAUUCAGAGCCAUAAUUUCCUCUUGUCUGUAAUCGUGAUUUUCACCCCUGUUAUUAAUUUUAUUGAUGAUGUUUGUAGGGAUUUAAGUGCACGUCUGCAGCAGCAGCUGGGUGAUGUUCAGGACCAUGUCUCGUUUCUGGAGGUCCAGCGCUCACAGCUCGAGCUGCAGGUCCAAACCCUCCUGCAGGCUAAAGAUGCUCUACAAGGUGAAGUGGAGUGCGUGAGGACAGCCCUGGAAAGAGAGACGGCUCUGAGGGAGAAGGAGCGCAAUGGAGCGAAGGAGGAGAGGAGGAGGAGUGAAACAGAGAAGGAGGAGAGCGAAGCAGAGCUGAAAAAGCUGCUGAGAGAUUUAGAGCAGCACCGAACGAGAGAGGCGGAGCAGGAGAGGGAACGAGAGAGCUGGCAGAGAGAGAGGGAGGAGCUAAGUGCGGAGCUGGGGCAGAGAGAUGGAGAGAUGGAGGCGCUGAGGAGCAGGAUGGAGGCGCUUACCAAAGAAAACGAGGAGCAAUCUGAGCGGGCAAGUGAGAGAAUGAUGGAGGCGGAGCGACGGCUGCAGGAAACGAGGGAGGAGGUGGAGAGGUGGAGGCAGAGGGCGGAGGAAAGCCGGCGGGAGAGAGAGAAAGAGCGAGAGAUGCUGGAGAAGAAGGUGGAGGAGUUGAAGGAAAGAGCAGAGGAGGAGAAGAGACUGAGAGAAAGAGCGAGAGAGGAGCAGGAGAAGCAAUGGAUGAAAGAUCUGGAGAAAGCAGCCAAAGAAGCAAGGGAUGAGGCGGAGCGAUGGAGGAGGAGAGAGGAUGAAAUAAAGGAACUGAGGUCAAGCCUCCAUUCCUUAGAGGAAGAGAUGGAGGGAUUAGAGAAAGAGGUGAAGGAGAAGGAGGGAUUAGAGGAACGAGUGAUGAUUCUGGAGGAUGAAAAAACACAGCUGGAGGAAAGAGAGAGAGCUAGAGACAGAGAAUGGAGCAAGUUGGAAGAGGUGCAGAAGGAUGAAAAGAGCAAGAUGAAAAGGGAGUUAGACCAGAGAGAAGGAGAGAUAGAUGAGCUCCGAAGAAGGAUGGAGGGAAUAACGGAGGACAGAGACGAAACAGAGGAUAAACUGAGGGAGAAGAACGCAGAGUUAGAGGAACUGUGGGAAGAACGGACAGAAUUAGAGCUGAGGAUAAAGAAGGGAGAAGAAAGAGAGGAGGGAUGGAAGAAGCUGGUGGAGACAGAAAGGAUGAGAGCAGAGGAGAAGAGGACAGAAGUGGAGGAGAAGCUGGAAGGAGAGAUGGAGGAGCUCAGAAGAAGGAUGGAGGGAGCAAUGAAAGAGAAGAACACAGAAUUAGAGAAAGUGAGGGAAGAACGGAUGGAGCUAGAGUGGAGGAUUAAGGAGAGAGAAGAAAGAGAGGAGGAAAGAAAGAAGCAAGCAGAGGAGAAAAGGAUCAGAGCAGAGGAAAAGAUAAAAGGAGAAAUGGAGGCACUGAAAAGAGGAAUGGAGAGAAUAAUGGAGGAGAAAAAACUGGCUGAGGACAAAUUGAGGGUGAAAGCAGCUGAGUUGGAUGAACUGAAAGAAGAAAGGAUGGAGCUGGAGUCGAGGAUGAAGGAGAGAGAAGAAAGAGAGGAGGAAUGGAAGGAACUGGCAGAGAAGGAGAAAAUCCGUGUGGAGGAGAAGCUGAAAAAAGAGAUGGAGGAGCUCAGGAGAAGGAUGGAGAGAAAAGUAAAGGAGAAGAACUCAGAAUUAGAGAAAUCAAGGGAAGAACGGAUGGAGUUAGAGCUGAGGAUGAAGGAGAGAGAAGAGGGAGAGGAGGAAAGAAAGAAGCAGGUGGUGGAGAGGAGGAACAGAGCAGAGGAGAAGAUGAAAAGAGAAAUGGAGGCGCUGAAAAGAAGGAUGGAGAGAAUAGUAGAGGAGAGAAACAAGACCGAGGAUAAACUGAGAGAGAAGAAGGCAGAGUUGGAGGAACUGAAGGAAGAAAAGAUGGAGUUGGAGUUGAGGAUGAAUGAGAGAGAAGAAAGAGAGGAGGAACAGAGGAUGCUGGCUGAGGAAGAAAAAAUGAGAGAGGAGGAGAGGAGAAUACAAGCUGAGGAGGAGAUGAAAGAAGAGAUGGAGGAGCUCAGAAGAAGGAUGGAGGGAAUAACGGAGGAGAGAAACAGUGCGGAGGACAAACUCAGGGAAAAGGUAGCGGAGUUGGAGGAACUGAAAGAAGAACGGACAGAGUUUGAGUUGAGGAUGAAUGAAAGGGAAGAAGGAGAGAAAGAACAGAGGAAGCUGGAUGAGGAAGAAAGAUUGAGGGUGGAGGAGAAGCUGAAAGGAGAGAUGGAGGAGCUCAGAAGAAGGAUGGAGGGAAUAACAGAGGAGAGAAAUGAUGCGGAGGAAAACCUCAGACAGAAGAACGCAGAAUUAGAGGAACUGAAAGCGGAACGGACAGAGCUGGAGUUAAGGAUGAACGAGAGAGAAGAAAGAGAGGAGGAAUGGAAGGAGCUGGCCGAGAAGGAGAAAAUCCAUGUGGAGGAGAAGCUGAAAAAAGAGAUGGAGGAGCUCAGGAAAAGGAUGGAGAGAACACUAAAGGAGAAGAACUCAGAAUUAGAGAAAUUGAGAAAAGAACGGAUGGAGUUGGAGUUGAGGAUGAAGGAGAGAGAAGAAAGAGAGGAGGAAACAAAGAUGCUGGUGGAAGAGGAGAAGAUUAGGAUGGAGGAGAGGACAAACCAAGUGGAGGAAAAGUUGAAGAGAGAGAUGGCUGAACUUAGAAGAAGGAUGGAGGGAAUAACAAAUGAGAGAAACGCGGCAGAGGAUGAACUGAGGGAGAAAAACACUGAAUUGGAGAAACUGAGAGAAGAACAGAGGGAGAUGGAGUUGAGGAUGAAGGAGCGAGAAGAAAGAGAGGAGGAAAGGAGGAAGCUGGCAGAGAAGGAGAAGAUUAGGGUGGAGCAGAAGCUGAAAGGAGAGAUGGAGGAGCUCAGGAGAAGGAUGGAGAGAACACUAAAGGAGAAGAACUCUGAUUUAGAGAAAUUGAGGAAUGAUCGGAUGGACUUGGAGUUGAGGAUGAAGGAGAGAGAAGAAAGAGAGGAGGAAACAAAGAUGCUGGUAGAGGAAGAAAGGAUAAAAGUGGAAGAGAGUAGGAACAGAGCAGAGGAGAAGCUUAAAGGAGAGAUGGAGGUCCUCAGAAGAAGGAUGGAGGGAAUAACAGAGGAGAGAAAUGUGGCAGAGGAUGAACUGAGGGAGAAGAAUGCUGAUUUGGAGAAUUUGAGAGAAGAACGGAUGGAGUUGGAGUUGAGGAUGAAGGAAAGAGAAGAAAGAGAGGAGGAAUGGAAGAAGCUGGAGGAGGGGAGGAGAAACCGAGUAGAGGAGAAGCUGAAAGGAGAACUAGAGGUGCUUAAAAGAAGGAUGGAGAGAAUAACGGAGGAGAGAAACGAGGUGGAGGACAAACUGAGAGAGGAACGGACAGAGUUGGAGCUGAGGAUGAAGCAAAGAGAAGAAAGAGAGGAGGAAUGGAAGAAGCUGUCUGAGGAAGAAAAGAUGAGGUUUGAGGAGAAGCUGAAAGGAGAGGUGGAGAGGAAGGAUGGAGAGAUAGAAGUUCUGAAAAGAAGGUUGGAGGGAAUAAUUAAGGAGAAGAACAUUUCAGAGGAUGCAGUGAGGGAAGAACGGAUCAAGUCGGAACUGAGGAUGAAGGAGAUAGAACAGCUGAGAGAAAGACAGGUGGAGGAAGAGAUUGCGAAGAUCAAGGUGGAGGAGCUUCAGCGAGAACACCUCAGCCUGGAGGAGGAGGUGAAGAGGAGGGAGAGAGACCUCAGCGCUCUGAGGGAGGAGAGCCGGAGAGAGAGAGACAGGGUGGAGCAGAAGGAGGAGGAGCUGAAGGAGGCGAGGAAGCAGAUGGAGGAGAUGGUGCUGAGGGUGGAGGCUCUCAGGCGGGAGGUGGCGAGGCUCUCGGAGGAGCGGGAGGCGGAGAGAGUGAAGGUGAGGGAGCGAGAGGAGGAGAAGGAGAAGAUGAGGGAAGGACUGAGAGCCGGACUGCAGGAGAUGACCACGCUGAGGGAGCUCCUGCAGGAGAGCCACCGAGAGGGGGAGCAUCUGAGGAGCGUUUUAAAGGAGAAGAAAGAAGAACUGAUGAGAGGAAGAGAGGAGGACGUGAGGACGGCCAGAAAAGAAGCAGAAGAUCUACGGCUCAGAGUUCAGGUUCUGCAGAAGGAGAAGGAGGAGCUCCAGGAGAAGCAGCAGAGGUCAGAGUCUGAACUGAUGAUGGAGGAGGUGAAGGAGGAAGGAGAAGUGAGGAGGAUGGAGGAGCUGGAGGAACAGCUGCAUGGUUUACAGAUUAAAGCAGAGCAGAGAGAGAGAGACUUGGUCAGAGAACGAGGGAGAAUUAAAGAGCUGGAGGAACGGAGGAGGAGCCUGAGCAGAGAGGUGAAGCAGAAGAGCAGAGACGUGGAGGAACUGAGGAACCGAGCGGCGGAGAAAAAACAGCAGCUAGAGGAUCUUGAGCAGAGGAUGGAGUUGCUGAGGAAGGAGGAGAGGGAGCGACAGAGUGAGAUGGAAGAGAAAGAGAGAGGAAUUGAACGAAUGGAUGUGGAGGUGAGAGAGAAGGAAAGAGCACAGAGGACAAAUGAAGGAGUGAAUGAAGGUAAAGAAGAACCGAUCUCCCUGCAGGACAGAGAGAGAGAGGAGCUGAAGAAGCGUCUGAGAGACAGAGAGUCGGAGGUGUUUUCUCUGAAAGACAGAAUGGAGGAGCUGGGGAAAGACAGACAGCGGAUGAGAACCGCUCUGGAGAAGACUGAGGCGAAGUUGAUCGAGUAUAAAGAGAGAGUUCAGCAGCUGGAGAGAAGAACAGGAGAGAGUGGUGCAGUGAAGACAGAUGGAGGAGAAGGAGGAGGAGGAGGAGAGCGGGUCAGAACCAUGCAGAGAGCCGUAGCUCAGCUGGAGCUCCAGCAGAGGGCGCUGCAGCAGAGAAACAGCAGGCAGGAACAGCGGAUAGAGAAACUGAAGACUGAGAGACAGCAGCUCCGUCUUACCCUGCAGUCUGUAGUGUACUGUGAUGAUAGCGGCGCUCCGGCUGAUGCUGAUGAACUGAAGAGGCUGAGAGAACGUGUAGUAGAACUGACAGAACAGGUUGAGUAUCUGCGGCGGAUGCUGGCUCAGGAUCAUCAGGAGCGCUCUGAGUUUAUCGACCGCUCUCUGAAGAACAGUGACCGGCUGCAGUCUCUGAGAGAAGACCUGAGCCAGUCUCUGGCCGUCGUGUCCCAGCAGCUCGAUCCUCCGGUUCUGGAGUCUGAAACCCAGAGACUGGACCUCAGCAUCCGAGAGGAGGAACACAGACUUUCCCUGAGCCAGAACUGACGGGACCUCCAGCUCACUGCAGAUCAGCUGGAGAGAGCAGUUCUGAUGUUCUGCACUGACAGUAGAGGAGGACAGUGCUGACAGUGUGAUUGUAGCAGUUGUUGUAAUUGUUCAGGGUUCAUUAUUCCAGAUGUUCGUUACUACAUUAAAUGACUGAUCUUUGUAUUUAAGUAUUAUAUUUUUUACACUAUAUUUAUUUUUUUAUACGGAUAUAUAUUGAUGAAGUCCCAUUUUGGUUUAUUUUACUUUGGUUAAUAAAGUAAUUAAUUUAAUAAACUACUAAAUAAAA